rnacentral:rRNA from 1 species
GUGGGGAAUCUUAGACAAUGGGGGAAACCCUGAUCUAGCCAUGCCGCGUGAGCGAUGAAGGCCUUAGGGUUGUAAAGCUCUUUCAGCUGGGAAGAUAAUGACGGUACCAGCAGAAGAAGCCCCGGCUAACUCCGUGCCAGCAGCCGCAGUAAUACGGAGGGGGCUAGCGUUGUUCGGAAUUACUGGGCGUAAAGCGCGCGUAGGCGGACCAGAAAGUUGGAGGUGAAAUCCCAGGGCUCAACCUUGGAACUGCCUUCAAAACUCCUGGUCUGGAGUUCGAGAGAGGUGAGUGGAAUUCCGAGUGUAGAGGUGAAAUUCGUAGAUAUUCGGAGGAACACCAGUGGCGAAGGCGGCUCACUGGCUCGAUACUGACGCUGAGGUGCGAAAGCGUGGGGAGCAAACAGGAUUAGAUACCCGAGUAGUCC